rnacentral:tRNA from 3 species
GGAGAGGUGGCUGAGCUGGCUGAAGGCGCUGCUCUCGAAAAGCAGUGUAUGGGAAACCGUACCGGGGGUUCGAAUCCCCCCUUCUCCGCCA